rnacentral:rRNA from 1 species
AGCUUUAAGUUUUAUUUAAAGUGAGACCUGCCCAGUGCUAAUUAGUAAACGGCCGCAGUACCUUGACUGUGCUAAGGUAGCAUAAUCAGUUGGCUUUUAAAUGGAGUCGGGAAUGAAUGGAUUAAUAGGGUUAAGCUGUCUCUACUAUAUUAAAUUGAACUUACUUAUUAGGUGAAAAUGCCUAAGUUGUAAAAGAAAAAAGACGAGAAGACCCUAGGAGUUUUAACUAGAUGCUAUUUAUUAUAGUUAAUGUUUUUGUUGGGGCGACAUUGGAACAAUUUUAAACUUCCUUUAUGUUUAUAGGCCGACUUUGUAUGUAAAUCUAAACUACCCUAGGGAUAACAGCGUAAUUCUUUUUGAGCUUGCGACCUCGAUGUUGGACUAGGAAUUUGGUGGGCUAGCCGCCUAUUUAUAUUGUUCUGUUCGAACUGUUUUUCCU